CCUACGGGAGGCAGCAGUGAGGAAUAUUGGUCAAUGGACGAGAGUCUGAACCAGCCAAGUAGCGUGAAGGAUGACUGCCCUAUGGGUUGUAAACUUCUUUUAUAAAGGAAUAAAACGAGGCACGUGUGCCUUAUUGCAUGUACUUUAUGAAUAAGGAUCGGCUAACUCCGUGCCAGCAGCCGCGGUAAUACGGAGGAUCCGAGCGUUAUCCGGAUUUAUUGGGUUUAAAGGGAGCGUAGAUGGGAUGUCAAGUCAGUUGUGAAAGUUUGCGGCUCAACCGUAAAAUUGCAAUUGAUACUGGCAGUCUUGAGUACAGUUGAGGUAGGCGGAAUUCGUGGUGUAGCGGUGAAAUGCUUAGAUAUCACGAAGAACCCCGAUUGCGAAGGCAGCUUACUAAACUGUGACUGACAUUGAUGCUCGAAAGUGUGGGUAUCAAACAGGAUUAGAUACCCUGGUAGUC
rnacentral:rRNA from 1 species